UAGUGGCGAACGGGUGAGUAACACGUGGGCAAUCUGCCCUUCACUCUGGGACAAGCCCUGGAAACGGGGUCUAAUACCGGAUAAUACCUGCCUGGGCAUCUGGGUGGGUUGAAAGCUCCGGCGGUGAAGGAUGAGCCCGCGGCCUAUCAGCUUGUUGGUGAGGUAGUGGCUCACCAAGGCGACGACGGGUAGCCGGCCUGAGAGGGCGACCGGCCACACUGGGACUGAGACACGGCCCAGACUCCUACGGGAGGCAGCAGUGGGGAAUAUUGCACAAUGGGCGAAAGCCUGAUGCAGCGACGCCGCGUGAGGGAUGACGGCCUUCGGGUUGUAAACCUCUUUCAGCAGGGAAGAAGCGAGAGUGACGGUACCUGCAGAAGAAGCGCCGGCUAACUACGUGCCAGCAGCCGCGGUAAUACGUAGGGCGCAAGCGUUGUCCGGAAUUAUUGGGCGUAAAGAGCUCGUAGGCGGCUUGUCACGUCGGGUGUGAAAGCCCGGGGCUUAACCCCGGGUCUGCAUUCGAUACG
rnacentral:rRNA from 1 species